rnacentral:rRNA from 1 species
GAUGAACGCUGGCGGCGUGCCUAAUACAUGCAAGUCGAGCGAACAGACGAGGAGCUUGCUCCUCUGACGUUAGCGGCGGACGGGUGAGUAACACGUGGAUAACCUACCUAUAAGACUGGGAUAACUUCGGGAAACCGGAGCUAAUACCGGAUAAUAUAUUGAACCGCAUGGUUCAAUAGUGAAGGACGGUUUUGCUGUCACUUAUAGAUGGAUCCGCGCCGCAUUAGCUAGUUGGUAAGGUAACGGCUUACCAAGGCAACGAUGCGUAGCCGACCUGAGAGGGUGAUCGGCCACACUGGAACUGAGACACGGUCCAGACUCCUACGGGAGGCAGCAGUAGGGAAUCUUCCGCAAAGGGCGAAAGCCUGACGGAGCAACGCCGCGUGAGGGAUGAAGGUCUUCGGAUCGUAAAACUCUGUUAUUAGGGAAGAACAAAUGUGUAAGUAACUAUGCACGUCUUGACGGUACCUAAUCAGAAAGCCACGGCUAACUACGUG